rnacentral:rRNA from 1 species
AUUGAACGCUGGCGGCGUGCUUAACACAUGCAAGUCGAGCGGAUGGGGGGCGCUUGCUCCUGGAUUCAGCGUCGGACGGGUGUGUAAUGCCUAUGAAUCUGCCUGGCAGUGGGGGAUAACGUCCGGAAACGAGCGCUAAUACCGCAUACGUCCUGAGUGGGAAAGUUGCGGUUCUUCGGACCUCACUCUAUCAGAUCUGCCCAGGUCGCAUGAGCUAGUUGGUGGGGUGAAAGCGUACCAAGGCGACUAUCCGUAACUGGUCGGAGAGGAUGACCACUGACCAUGGAACUGAGACGCGGACCAGACUACUAAGGGAGGCAGCAGUGGGGAACAUUAGGCAAGGGGCGAGAGCCUGAUCCAGUCAUGCCGAGUGUGUGAAGAAGAUCCUCGGAGUGUAAAGCAGGCUAAGGUGUGAGGAAGGGAUGUAACUUCAUACGUAGCUGAAGUGACGGUACCUGCAGAAGAAGCACCGGCUAACUACGUG